UGAGGAAUAUUGCGCAAUGGGGGCAACCCUGACGCAGCGACGCCGCGUGAGUGAGGAAGGCCUUCGGGUCGUAAAGCUCUGUCAAAGGGAAAGAAAUGUAUAAUGGCUAAUACCUGUUAUAUUUGACGGUACCCUUAAAGGAAGCACCGGCUAACUCCGUGCCAGCAGCCGCGGUAAUACGGAGGGUGCAAGCGUUGUUCGGAAUCACUGGGCGUAAAGGGCGCGCAGGCGGUUUGGUAAGUCAGAUGUGAAAGCCCACGGCUUAACCGUGGAAGUGCAUUUGAAACUGCCAGACUUGAGUAUCAGAGGGGAAAGUGGAAUUCCCGGUGUAGAGGUGAAAUUCGUAGAUAUCGGGAGGAAUACCGGUGGCGAAGGCGACUUUCUGGCUGAAUACUGACGC
rnacentral:rRNA from 1 species